AGUUCUGUAAUACGAAGAAAACCAUUUUUCUCAGUCGCUCCGAUAACUGAACCGGAUCGGCGCAGGUCUUAGAAAUGCUCCCGACCGUCGUCUUCCUCCUCCUACUCCGCCUCCUCGCCACCGCCACGGUCACCAUCUCCGCCCCAAUUUUGGGAUUGGACUCCUUUCUUGCUCAACAAUCCAGGGUUGACCCUCAAGCCACCAAUGACUCCUUCCUUUCUCUACCUUCCUAUCUGAAGAAAACUCUCUCCCAAACCUCGCCUCAACAGCCGGCCACCAUCGCCGCCCUCCUUUCCCUCCAAGUCUCCGUCCCAAUCACCGUCAAGCUGGUGGGGACCACCUUCACCUCCUCCUCUCCCGCCACUCUCUCCUCCUUCAUCUCCUCCGCCGUCUCCUUCGAUCACUACCACGUCAUCUCUCCGUUCACCACCCAACCCUCCCACCACCUCUCUCUCUCCCAUUCUCUCCACCCAGAAGUCUCUCUCGCCCCUCCUUCGCUCGCCACCCAUCUCUCCGAAACCUUGAAAACCCACAUCGCCGCCGCCCCUUCUUCCAAUUUCCGAUCCCAACUCACCUCUGUCCCGUACUCCAUUAUCGACCAGAUUAUCCGACUAGACUUCGAGAAGGAGAAGCCCAUCAGCGGAAUUUACAUUUAUAUCCUCAAUUUGGGCGCCCAAUCCAAACCCUAUGCUUAUAGCUACACCCAUGGCGAUUCUUCCCCGGCUUUUACCAAGUGCUUCGGCAGCAUUUGGACCGGGAAAGACCGGUAUAUCUGGAUCGAUUUAGGGGCCGGCCCGGUCGAGUACGGUCCGGCGCUCUCCGGCGAUGGCCUUAUGCCGAGAGGAGAGUUUCAUCCAUUGGCAUCCCUUCACGGCCGCCCCAAAUCCCAAAGGGCAUUGCUUUCCGACUUGGCCUCAUUGGUCUGGAGUGCUUAUCAGGUUCUUCUUGUUCCCUCCUUGAGAAUUCCUGUCCCUUUUGAGAAUUCAUUGAUAGUUGAGUUUAUACACAUAAAGAGUUCCCCGGAAUCGGAUAGUCAAGAUAGCUUUGGAUUGGAUUGGAAAUCGAUAGAGAUGACUUUUAUGGAUGAAGUAAGGGAUAGUGGAUUAUUGUUGGGUGAUCAAUCUUUAAGCUUUAAGAAGUAUGAGGUGAACUUAGCGGAGUGCUCGAUAUGUUCUUUUGCCAUUUCUAGGGCAACUACUUCAUACACUUCUAGGUAUUUAUUCGAUAACUACACUAUGAUCGUUAGUGAAUACCUGGACUCGAAGCGCUUACACCAGACCUUGUCGGAAUCCGCUGAGGAGUUUAGGCGGGUGGCAAAGCUUCCCCAGGAAGACUUCGGGAGGGUUCUUCCCGUCUAUGUUUUCGACCUGGAUAUCAGCUUGAUUUUGUUGCUCGAUCGAUACCAUCAAACGGUGGCUUUUAAAGAUAUGGUUAUUGCGGUGAGGACAAAGAGUAACCAGGCCGUGAGUGAUUAUAGUUGUAAUGGUCGCCAUGUUUUUACCCAGACCCGUCAGCUCGAGAGACCCCUCGUUGGUUCCAUUUUGCAGAGUAUGUGGGGAGUGUCCCCGACGCAUUUGCUGUGGAGCCCUAAGCACAAUACGACUCUUGUGGACUAUACGUGGAGCGUUGGGCAUACGCCGUUUGGGCCCUUUUCGGAAAUUUCAUCGCUGUCCUUUGUACAGAAAGAUGCUGCUCGAAGGAAUGUUCUUUUGACGUCUUUGAACUAUAGUCUCAUGAGUGCUAUCGAUGUCAUGGAAUCCAUUGCUUCACAUGGCGGGGAGAGGAAACUCCUUAAGCAUAAUCAGCUUCCCGAGUUUAUCCAAAGGUGGAAUUUGUUCAAGUACAAGCUGGAUAAAACAGUUUCGGCUUUGUCACAUUUCGAUUUCGAGAUGGCGUUAUAUUACCUAAGGUCGUCAGAUCAUGAUAUAUAUGCCAUUCACUCUCUUGUUUAUCAUGCUUCCCAAGAUUUGGAGGCGUCGCUCGUCUGCUUUAAGGACCCACCGUUUCCAUGGAUGUCGGUUUCUAUGUCUCUCGGGAUUUUAAUUGGUCUUGUCUAUAUUGUCGCAAAGAGGGACAAGUUAUUUCGGAACAAGAGAAAACAGUUUUAGAGCAUCAGGUUUGGUGAGAUUCGAAUUGAUGAUAUGACAGAUGUUUUGAAAUCUUGACUUCAGUGGUCAGAAAGAGGAUUUAUAUUGACAUCAUCAAGUAUUAAAUUGCCUUAGAGGUGAAGGGGGGAACUCGGGAGAUAGGAUCUCUGUAGUCUACUUAGGCUGUUUAGCUUCUGUUUCUUUCACGGCUGUUAAGAUGUUCUAAAAUCUCACAUUCACUCUUCUUUAUAACUACUGACACUUCAUAGU